GCCGCCGCUGCCGCCGCCGCCGCCGCCGCCGCCUCUCGCCGGCGGUCGCCCCUCCUCCUCCUCCUCCUCCUCCUGCGCUCGGGCGCUGGUCCCUCCUCUCCCGAUGCCGCGAGAGACUGGGGGGUACGGCAGAGCCGGAGAAGAGCACUAGUAACAACCACCACAGCCCCCUCCCCGCCCGACACCCUCCCUCGGCACCCACCCACUCCCCCGCCCCGUUUGCCGACACCGACCAACCCCACCUCUCGUUCCUUUGAACGGCGUCGGCUGCAGUCGCUGCACCAGCCCGUCUGGCCACCAACGCCGCCGAGAAAGGAGCCGUCGCCGCCGCCUGCGGCCCCCUCCCGCCCGGCCGCGGGAGCCAGCGGGGUGAGGACGAGCCGGCUGCGGAGGAAGAGGACGAGGGAGGCUCGCACCCUCUGCUCCAGCGCAAGUCCCGCCGCCCUCCGGGGAGGUUCGGGCGCCGGCCCCUUCCUCCCCGAGGACGUGUGCCGAGCCGAGGCGACUGCCCUGAGGGAGGAAAAUGCUCGGGCUCCAUGGCUGCCAGUGAUGGAGCGGUCCCUGGGCUCCCGCUGCCACCACCACCGCCGCCGCCGCCGCCGCGCCCCGGCCGUGCUCCGCGAGGACCCGGCGUCUCUGCGCGCCCGCCCGCGCCUCGUUGCUGGGCUCACCGUACCGGGCGCCCCGCCGCCGCCCCGCUCGCAGCCGCGCCGCCCGGGCCCCAGCCGCGGCCAGCGUUUCCUCCCGGAGCAGCCGCCGCGAGCCCAGGGGCUCGCCCGCGAAGGCAGGAGCGGCCGGCGCCUUCGGCUGAGGAGGAGGAGGAGGAGGAGAAGGAGGAAUCGCGCCGGGCGGAGCGUCAGGUCCCGUUUUCCUCUCCGGCGUCUCGCAUACAAAGAUUACGGUGCAGAAGGAAAUUGCACUCGCCUCCUCCGCCCCCCGGUACCCAACACAAUGCACCAGCCGCCUGAGUCCACCGCCGCCGCCGCGGCGGCCGCCGCAGACAUUAGUGCUAGGAAGAUGGCGCACCCGGCAAUGUUCCCUCGAAGGGGCAGCGCUGGUGGCAGCGCCUCUGCUCUCAGUGCAGCAGGUACUGGCAUCGGGAGUAAUGCCACAUCUUCCGAGGAUUUUCCGCCGCCCUCGCUGCUCCAGCCGCCGCCUCCUGCAGCAUCUUCCUCGUCGGGACCACAGCCUCCGCCUCCACAAAGCCUGAACCUCCUCUCGCAGGCUCAGCUGCAGGCACAGCCUCUUGCGCCAGGCGGAACUCAAAUGAAAAAGAAAAGUGGCUUCCAGAUAACUAGCGUCACUCCGGCUCAGAUCUCCGCCAGUAUCAGCUCUAACAACAGUAUAGCGGAGGAUACAGAGAGCUAUGACGAUCUGGAUGAAUCUCACACGGAAGACCUCUCUUCCUCCGAGAUCCUUGAUGUGUCACUUUCCAGGGCUACUGACUUGGGGGAGCCUGAGCGCAGCUCCUCGGAGGAGACUCUGAAUAACUUCCAGGAAGCCGAGACGCCUGGCGCGGUCUCUCCCAAUCAGCCCCACCUUCCACAACAGAGUGUUGUGAUCAAUGGGAAUGCUCAUCCACACCACCUCCAUCACCACCAUCACAUUCAUCACGGGCACCACCUCCACCAUGGGCACCACCACCCAUCCCAUGCUGCUGUGGCCAGUGCAUCCAUUCCUGGAGGGCCACCCUCAAGCCCUGUAUCCAGAAAACUCUCCACAACUGGAAGCUCUGACGGUGUUGCACCAGUUGCACCAGCUUCUGCUGUAUCAUCGAGUGGCUCACCUGCAUCUGUAAUGACUAAUAUCCGUGCCCCCAGCACUGCAGGCGGUAUAGGUAUAAAUUCUGUUACUGGCACUAAUACAGUGAAUAAUGUUAACAUUGCUGCUGUGGGUAGUUUCAGUCCUAAUGUGACAAGCAGCGUGCUGGGGAGUGCUAAUAUAAGUGCAAGCAAUAUUCCUAGUGCUGCUAGUGUGAGUGUUGGGCCUGGAGUUCCUAGUGGUGUUAAUGUAAAUAUCUUGAGUGGCAUGGGCAAUGGUACUGUUUCUUCUUCUGCUGUUGUUAACAGUGUCCCUGGUGCAGCUGCAGGAAUGACUGUGGGAUUGGUGUCAAGUCAGCAGCAACAGCCAACCGUUAACACAUCAAGGUUCAGAGUGGUGAAGUUAGAUUCUAGUUCUGAACCCUUUAAAAAAGGUAGAUGGACUUGCACUGAGUUCUAUGAAAAAGAAAACGCUGUACCUGCUACUGAAGGCGUGGCGAUAAAUAAAGUGGUGGAGACUGUAAGACAGAACCCGGUAGAAGUGUCUUCUGAGCGAGAGAGCACUAGUGGGAGUUCAGUGAGCAGUAGCGUCAGCACACUGAGUCACUACACAGAGAGUGUGGGAAGUGGAGAGAUGGGAACCCCUACAGUGGUGGUGCAGCCGCAACAGCAGCAGCCGCCACCACCACCAGCCCUUCAAGGUGUGGCCCUCCAACAAAUGGAUUUCAGUAGCGCCGGUCCACAGAGCAUUUCUCAGCCGCAGAUGUCGCAAGUACAAUUACAGUCUCAAGAACUGAGCUAUCAGCAAAAGCAAGGUCUUCAACCAGUACCUCUGCAAGCCACCAUAAAUGCUGCAACUGGUAUCCAGCCAUCGCCUGUAAACGUGGUUGGUGUAACUUCAGCUUUAGGUCAGCAGCCUUCCAUUUCUAGUUUGGCUCAACCCCAACUGCCAUAUUCCCAGACGGCUCCCCCAGUGCAAACUCCUCUUCCAGGGGCACCACCCCAGCAGUUACAAUAUGGACAACAUCAACCAAUGGUUUCUACACAGUUGGCCCCAGGCCAUGGUCAACCAGUGACUCAGAAUCCUACUUCAGAGUAUGUACAACAGCAGCCGAUGCUUCAGACAGCCAUGUCUUCUGGACAGCCCAGUUCUGCAGGAGUGGGAGCAGGAGCAACAGUGAUUCCUGUGGCUCAGCCACCGGGUAUCCAGCUGCCAGUGCAGCCCAUAGCAGUCCAAGCACAACCUGCAGGGGCAUCUAGCCAGCCUGUUGGCCAGGCUCAGACAGCAGUGUCUGCUGUACCUGCUGGCAGUCAAAUGGCAAAUGUUGGUCAACAAGCAAACAUACCUACCGCAGUGCAGCAGCCCUCUACCCAAGUUACACCUUCAGUUAUUCAGCAAGGUGCUCCUCCAUCUUCACAAGUAGUUCCACCUGCUCAAACUGGGAUUAUCCAUCAGGGAGUUCAAACUAGCGCUUCAAGCCUUCCUCAACAAUUGGUUAUUGCACCCCAAAGUACCUUGUUAACUGUGCCUCCCCAGCCACAAGGAGUAGAACCAGUAGCUCAAGGAGUGUCACAGCAGUUGCCUGCAGUUAGUCCUUUGCCCUCUGCUAGUAGUAUUUCUGUUACCAAUCAGGUUAGUUCAACUGGUCCUUCUGGAAUGCCUUCCGCCCCAACAAACUUGGUUCCACCACAGAAUAUAGCACAAACCCCUGCCACCCAAAAUGGUAAUUUGGUUCAAAGUGUUAGUCAACCUCCCUUGAUAGCAACUAAUAUAAAUUUGCCCUUGGCACAGCAGAUACCACUAAGUUCUGCGCAGUUCUCUGCACAAUCGUUAGCUCAGGCAAUUGGAAGCCAAAUUGAAGAUGCCAGGCGCCCAGCGGAGCCCUCCUUAGUUGGCUUACCUCAAACUCUCAGUGGUGACAGUGGGGGAAUGUCAGCAGUUUCAGAUGGGAGUAGCAGCAGCCUAGCAGCCUCUGCUUCUCUUUUCCCGUUGAAGGUGCUACCGCUGACGACACCCCUGGUGGAUGGUGAAGAUGAGAGCUCUCUAUUUCAGUGCUUCUCUCCUACCAGAGGUGCAAGGAGUGAUCCUAGAACCACAGAUACAGCCAAGACCACGGAGAGCUUUUGACGUCAGGGGUCCACUUUCUCCACUGAACCCUUGGAGACAGAAUAUCCAGCUUCUGGAGAGAGUGGGAAAGGAUAAUAAACAAACAGCCAAAGCAAUGGAUGAUUUGGGCACAUGAUUCGGUGAAUGCCUAUGUAGUCCACAGGAAUUUUGAAAAGGGGAUAUUCACCUAUUUGGCCUUUAUGGUAUGAGUGGACUUUAAACUACUCUUUUACAUUUUAGUAAUUGAAAACUUUCUGUUUUUCAUUUUUGGGCAAACAAGACAUCUGGUCUUUUAAUUUAUAUAGUCAGAUGUCCAGGUGUUAUCCUGCACUGUUAGAACUUUUUGGUAUUUUCCUACCCCAAACAUUAGGACUUAAUAUUUGAUAUUUUAAAAGAUGCAAUGAUAGUACCAUUAUGGUUUUACUGUCAAAUCUAGGCUUCAUUCUUUAAUAGAGUAAAUAUGAAUGAUUAUAAGUUUCAGGAUAUAAUAACCCUGAAAGCUAUGUUUAAUAUACUCAAAAGCCGUUUUUCUUGUCCCUAGGAAUAAUAUUUGUGGCAAAAGAGCCCUUUCCCUAGAUUUUCCCCAUGGCAUUAAGAUGAUUUUCUCUUAGUUUCUCUGAUGCCGAGGGUAGGAUUUGAUUCCAGGAAGUUCUUAUCUACAGUGGGUAGACUGUGAACUUGGUGCUUUUGGCAAGUUUUCAUUUUUCCUUGGUGGAUUCCUUCUGUGACUCCAGGUAUCUUGAUAAUGGGAGACUGGUUUAUUUGUUCUCUAAUUGCCCAGAUUUCUUUCAACUGGUAAAACAUCAUACUUCAGCAAAAGGAAUUCUUCUAGCAGAGCCUUCAUGGAUGAUAUCUGUCAGACAUGCCAGCAUCUGCAGUUUGGAAGGCAGUGGUGAAUGGACCCAUGCACUAUGUCUAGAAGACACAAGAAUGAGCGAGCCACCUGAUCUUGUCAUUUAUAAACUUUAAGAUCUACUCUGGUUUAUUUACUCUUGGUCUGAACAUGGAAAGGCUCAAAUAAUCUUUUCAUAUUGGAAUUUUACAUGGUCAUGAAAAUAUGUCUUUCUAUUUAGAAGACUGAAAUAGAGGCAGCUUGAGAGACUCCUUUCUUUAAAGCAGCUCUCUGUAUCUGUUCCAUUUAAAGGACUUCCAGGAUUUAAAAUCACCUUAGUGAAGUAGGCAGACUUUUUUAAAGCACUAUAGGAAAUCCAGAGAACAUAAUGAAUUGUUUUAUUACACUGAAAGAAAUUAAUAAAUCAAGGGUGAACUUCUUAAUUAUUCCAGAAUUACUUUUAAUAUUAGGAUAUACUCUUCAAGCUCAUCUUUUGCUGUUCUUGAGCCUUAUUCUUACUGUAUUUCUCAAGUCAACAGAAUGUAAUAUAGAAAUAAAAGAGACAUCAGAGUCAGAGUAGCGUGGUCUGUCUUCUGAAGUCCUAAAUACCUGUUAAACUUGAAGUAUUGUUCUGCACUGAAGGCAUACUAAGUCUCAAUGAUGCUGUCACAAAGCAGCAGUUAAUAGAGCAAAGGCAGUUAGCAUUAGAAUAAGCCUAUAAGUGUGAAUAAGUGUUACAAAAUAGUUAUCUAAACUGUCCAUUGAUUGAUAAAAGCAGUUAACAAAAUGUUUUAUUUCUCUGGUAUCUAUUAACUGGUCAGUCAAAAGCUAUUAAUGAAACUUUUCAAAGUAUUCUGAUGCUGCCAGUUUCUUUUAUUUUGAUAUAAAUUUUAAGAAUUGAAGUCAUAGUUAUUAAUAUGGAAGCAAGUAAGAUGUUUUAGAAAUCUCACAGAUUUUUAAAAGCCACAUUUGCUAAAAUUUCACCUGAUCUUUAAUCUUUCUUGGCUAUCUAUGAGACGUAUUUUUUUCCUCAUUAAUUAUAAAUAAGAUUUUGUAAGAAUAGUACUUAAAAGUAAGUUUAAAAGAUCCAUUUGAUCUAAAAUUUCCCUGGAGAGCUCUGAAUUCCCAUAAAUGGUUACAGGUUUUUAUUCCUGACUUUUGUUACAUGUUAAUAUGACAGUUGAUUUACAAGCAUAUAAAUUAAAAAAACAGCUACCCAACAUUUUAGAAAGAACUUACAGAACUGAAAGUGAAAUUUGCUUGGAAAUUUAAUGGGUUGAGUUCUUUGAACCGCAGUACAAACCAUUUUAUAUGGCCUAUGAGAUUAUUAGCUUUUUGUUUUAGCUUUGAAGAUGAAAAGUGAUUUAAUCUUUUAAUCUCAUGCUUUGAUUAAAUUUUAGCUUUGUUCCUUUAAAGUGUGCAAAAGAAAUGUAAGUGCAUUUCUAUUUACCUCAUGCCACUAAAAGCUAUUUAAAAGUGAAACUUUUUGUAUAUUAUUGUGAACUGAUUUGUUUAUUUAAACUUUUAUUUUGAUGCGUUUUUCUUUCAGUUUUUUAUAUUUCGUGUCACAAUAUGCAGUUCUAUAUUUUUCAAUGUUUUCUGAAUAUUAACGUAAGCUAAUUUUUUUCUAGAAUGACUAAUUGUGUAAUAUUUGUAUUUGUGAUCAUUUGAAAACUAAUAAAUAUUUUGUCCAUGAAAAAAAUGCACUUACUGAUAAAUGGCUUAUUUCUGUUUCAGGAGUAGAAAGUGAAAAUUGAAACAGCAUUUUAAAGUGUAUUCUAAUUUUAUGUGUCUUCUAAGCAUUUCUGAAUAUAUAUUUUAUCCCUUUGUAUAUAACAAUUUUUUUGAGAAAAAUGAUUUUUGAAACUUAAAAUGAUGGGGUCACCAUGUGAAUGUAUGACAUAGGUGAUCUGUUUAAUCUGUUUUUGCAUUUUCCUAAUUACAACAUCUUAGCUUUGUUUCCAGAAUUGGAUUUUUUAGAUGCCAUUUUUGUAUGUUGAUUUUGUAAACUAUUUAAACUCUUUGAGUUAAUAAUGUAAACAUUGGGAAUAAUUUGGUCAAAUCUUUUAAAACUAGAUUGAUCAAAAUCUAUCCCCUUACAAAAUAGCAUACAAAAACAAUUCCUUUACCCAGAAAAUGAACAUUUGAAAUUGAUGGCUGAUUGUUGAACCACCCAACUAGUAAUGACUGUUACAAAUGAAUUAAAUGUUUUGUGUUUGAAUGUUCUGCUAGCAAAAACUAUAAAAUGAGAAAUGGUGGCUCCAGAAUCUUUUAAUAUUAUCAAGACAGCAUGGAAAAGGGUAAAUUUUGGGUUUUAAUGAUUCUUGUCUAUGCCUGCAUAAGCUUAACCCAUUAUGUUUCAUUGUCCUAUAUUUAGGACAUGUAUAAAAACUUGAUUGAGCACUAAAUAUACCACUUAUGGUAACUGUGAUAUAAAUAUGUCAUGGAAAUAUCUACAGAAUUGAAAACUUGGGAUUUAAUGGGUUAAUUGAAGCUGAUGCAAUAGUCCACUUUUCUAUGCAGGGUCUUCUAGGAGCAAGGGAUUUCUUUUUGAAUUUGGGAGAAGUAACACAAAAUGUGGACUCCAAAAAUUAAAAGUAAACACUAAGAUGGGGUCCUAGGCAAGGAAAUAAAAAUUGAACUAAUGACAACAUGUGGAUUAAAAUGAAAUAAAGUGGUUCCCCAAAGAAAUUCUGAGAAAAUGAGUAUUACAAAAGGAUGAGCCAGCUCUAUUAAGGAAAGGGUAAGGAAGCUAAAAUUCUUGGCUUUAUUAAUCUGGUAAGUUUGGAAAAGAUGAGUUAAAGAUUUUGUGGUUAAAGGUGGUUUUGUUUUGUUUUGUUUUGUUUUUAGAAUAUACCCUACCGAAAGGUUUACAAACAAAAUAUAUUUCAAUGGGAGGCUAUAUUUUAUGUGGGGGAAGACAAACAAAAAAUUUGUAAGCCUUUCCUGUACCUGUAUAAAAGGGAGGGGUAGGAUGGAGGAUAAAACAUCCUGCAGCAGAAACUUCAAAAAUAUCAGAGGUGAUGGGUUUGUAAGGACUGUUGCCUACACUCUCAGUAGCCUUCAAAACAAAAGUAUUACAGAAUGUUAAAGUUGGUUUAGUAAUUAUAUCUUCGAGAUACAUGAUCAUAGGCUUACGGCCUCACCAUAACUGAUCAUUGAUUGAAUUAGUAUUUAAAAGUCUGUUUUGGUUCCUUAGUGAAAAAACAAAGGAUUUUUUUUUCCUUUUUGAGUAGCUUAUUUUUUUAAAAAAAAAAAGUAAAUAUCACACUGUUCAGCUUAUUGUAAGCAUGUAUACAGAUCUUACUUUCUUUUACUAUAUUGAAACAAUUGCACAAAAUGUCAGUGCUUAGAUGUCCUAAGUGUUGGACAAUUCCAACCUAAUUUUACUCAGUUAUUUUUCUUUUCCUUUGUUAAAAGGAUUUCAUACUAAUUCAGUCUUAAAAUGGGAAAGAUUGAUGUUUUAAAAAUGAACACAUAGGUGCCCUGGAGUUUUCUCACUUGUACAUCUAUCAGGUAAUUAGAUUACUGCAUUGAAAACGUUAGGGAACUUUGAAGUGUGCUUCGGGAGUGUUCAGAAAUUGUGAUCAAAGGGAUCUCUGCUCAAGAGGUAAGGUAUGGCCUAGAGAGAAAUACGUUCAAUGUCUGAUGAUAAAGUAAACCACAACAGAUAGCCUUAGGUUUCUCAGACAGAUUUAGAAUUAGGAAAAGAAUUCUUGCUAAUAUUCUCUUCCAGAGAUGGGAAAUGGGUAAACUAUAAAUUUGUUUUUGUAUGAGCUUGAAGUAGAUUUAGAAAUACAUGCAGACAUGGUACUCUUGUGUAUGUGGUCUCUGAUAUUCCAAGGCAUCUCCUUUCUUUGCUCUCAGUGUUUAUCACUCUAAUUUAGUAUUUCUUAAACCCUGAGCACUUUAAAAGUGGGUUUUCCUUGAAAACUUGAGUACACAUUCCAUGAGAUUAUUGCCUGGCUUCAUUUUGGGUGUGUAUUUUUAUUCAAUGAUACCAGGAACUUAGAAAACAGUUGUUCAAGAAAGAACUUUUUAUUUUUAUUUGAGAAAUUCGAGUACUUUUAUGAACUUUCAUAAAUACUAAGGGAAAUAAUUAUAGAUUAAGAAAUAAUAUUGUUGCCUAGUAUAUAAAAUCAUUGAGAGGAAAAAGUUACACUCUCUAAGGAAUUUUUUUUUUUUUUUUAGAGGCAGUGUUACAGAGAGAGAAAGAGAGGUCUUCCAUCUGCUGGUUCACUCCUCAAAUGGCUGCAGCAGCCGGAGCUGGGCCCAUCCAAAGCCAGGAGCAGGGGUUUCUUUUGAGUUUCCCAUGUGGGUGUAGUGGCCAAAGCACUUAGGUCAUCUUCUAGUGCUUUCCCAGCCGUAGGAGAGAACUGGACUGGAGGAGGAACAGCCGGGACUCAAACUGGUGCCCAUAUGGGAUGCUGGUGCCAGAGGCAGAGGCUUUCACCCACUAAGCCACAGUGCCAGGCCCUCUAAGGAAUUUUAAGUAGGCUCUAAGAGUUGAUUGUUAGUAUAAUUCUUAUAUCUAAAAAUGAAGAAAAAUGUUGUACUGAAUGUUGAUGAGAUAAGAAAAUUGAUUAGGAUUUUUUCCCUAGGAUUAAAUUAUUAGUAUAACUAAGUUUAUGGUAACAUUAGAAAACACAGUAAUCGUCUAUCAUAUGUUUGAAUUCUUUUUAUAAGAACUGCAGCUCAUGGGCAUUUGGCUUUUAUUUAAAAUAAUUUGCUACUUACUCCACUUUUCCCUUCAUGUAGAACAAAAUAUUAAUACUCUUAUAAACUAGUGGUAGAGCUCAGCAUUUCAGGAGCUAGCGUUUUAUUGUUUAGAAUGUCUGCUGAUAAGAAAUUGAUCCAGAAUUUGCUCCUGUGCCAUUUUUUAUUUGAAAGAUACUUUAGAAGUUAUCUAGAUUUCUACCAUAAUUGUAUAUUACUAGAUGACUGAUAACCCCAAAAUAUCACAUUUCUAAUGUCACACCAUUGAUAAUACAUUUUAAGAUUCAAGUCUCAAGACCAACGGCUCAGAGAUCUGUACCACUUUGCUACCUCCUCUAGUUGAUCCCAGUUCUGGACAAGAGCAAAUUGUCAGGUUAAGUAUCUCCAGGUUCUUACCUGUUAGUCAUGAAAGGUUUUCGGAUCUUCUUUGAAUAUUAGUUUUCAUUGUUUAUCUUAGUGUUUGGCACUAAGCCAGCAUUAUACAAGUGUGCUUUACCUGGGCUGUUAGAACACAUGACCUUAUGUUCUGUUUGACCAGGAUACCCAUUCGACGUUACCCUUUGUUGAUCCAGUAAGGUGCUUAGUUUUAUGCAUGUUGAGAUUCUCUUAGGCAAAGACAUUAGUGAGAUGCAAAAUAUUUUGCUUGUAAAAAUGAGAUCAAUACUGUGUUUAUCCAAAGACUGAAAUACAUAGUUUAGUAAAAGAAAAAAAAUCAAGGUGAUAGUGAAGACUUUGGAAAUCUUUGUUACACAAGUACAAUCUCCCAUUUAUUUUUGGUUUUCUUAAUUCUGGCAUCAACAACUACAAACUUUAUUAGAUGACUUGUGUAAUAUGAGAUGUUAUUUUUUCAGGUUGUCCUUGCUAAUGUAAGGGUAACCAGGCCUAUUGGAACCAAAUGCAGCACAUGACUGGUGUUGAGAAGAAAAUGAACUUUGUUUCAUAACAUGAUUAAAAUUAAUAAAAGGCAGUACUUUAGUGGAAAAGUUUGGGAAAUAUACACGAAACAGCAGAAGACGAAGAAGUAGCUCUGGAAUUCUGAGGAUGUAGCCUAAAUUCUUAAGGAUAGUCUUGUACCUCAAAGUGUAGUGUUUGCUGUUAUAGCAGCUUGUUUUUUAUGUUUAGCAAUAUUUUUAAAAUUCCCAGUUAAAAUAUUUAGCUUUCUCCCUCCAAAUCAUAAAAUGAGCUCCAGAAAGACACAGGAUAUUUAUUUAAUAGUUGCACACACAUCUAUUUAAGAAGCAUUGUUAGAAAUGUGGUAUUCAGGUAGCCCACAGUAUCUGUGGGGAAUUGGUUCCAGGAUCUUCCAAGAUCCCCCAGGAUAUAAAAAUCUGCAGAUGGCUCCAGUCCUUUAUAUAAAAGGGUGCAGUAUUGGCUUAUAGCUGUACAUGUUUCCAUAUACUUUCCAAUUAUUUUGAAAUACUUACUACUUUGGAAAUGCCAUGUGAAUGGUUGUUAUCCUGAAUUGUUGAAAUAAUGGGAAAAGAAAGAUCUGUACGUAUUCAGUACAGGCACCAUUUAUUCCUCUUGUAUUUUCAGUCCUCAGUGUUUUGGAACUAUGGAUGCAGAGAGCUGGCUGUGUUUAAUCUUUCCUGAGUUAGAAUUUGGAGCAAACCAAGGAAGAACAAACAAACCUUUACAUGCCUUCCUGUGCGACUUCACUAGGUGCUUCACAUACAUUUAUACAAUUCAGCUACCUUGUAAGAAAAGUGAUAAGCUUUCCACUUUACACAUAAAGGUACUGAGGCUCAGAAGUCAACAAAGACUGCCCAAGGGCCUGUAAUGAACAAGCAGGUUCUGAAGAAUUCUGUUACACCAUUGAUUGCCAAUUGUCUUUAACAAAAGGCUGCAUAGUCUCAGGAAAGUUACAUAUAGAAUCUCAAAAUCUAAUGUGGAAAAGAUAAUUACUUGCUUAGUAUGCACUUUUAUAGAUUUUCUUUAAAAGAGCAAUUUUAAGGUUUAUAGGAAACUGAAUGAGAAUGGAGUUCCCCUGUGCCUCCUUCUACCUCUCAUAGUUUUCCCUGAUACCAUCUCGGAUUGAUGUGGUAAAUGUUUUUAAUUCAUGAGCCAAUAUUGGUAUAUUAUUAACUGUAGUCCCCAGUUUACAUUAGGAUUCACUAUCAGUUUUGCCAAACACAUGUCGUGUGUUUACCAUUACAGUAAUACAUAGAAUGGUUUAUCUGCCCUAGGAAUGCCUUGUGUUCCCUGCUGGUGUGAUUGCUGGCUGACUUGGUGAGCCUGUGCUAAGCAUGGUGUUGCAGGCUGCCCUGCCAUCUUCCCCAGUGGUUGUGCCAUUUUGCAUUCCCUCCAGGAGUGGAUGCUAGUUCUUUUGCCCCACAUUCUCACCAGCCUUUGGUGGUGUCAGUGAGUAUAGCCACUCUGUAAUAGCUAUCUUGUGGUAUCAUUUUGUUUGUUUGUAAUUGCCCAAUGAUGGGGGUUUGAGCAUCUUUUCAUAUGCUUAUUUACAAUCUCUGUUACUUUCUUCAGUGAGAUGUCUGCUCAGAUAGAUUUGUAAGUUCUUAAUUGUAUUUAGGAUACCAGUCUUUUAUCAGAUAGGUGUUUGACACAUGUCACCCAGACUGGCUUACCUUUUUAUUCUCUUACCUGUCUUUUGAACAGAAUUUUAAAUUUUACUGAAGUCUGCCUUCUCAGUUUUUUUCUUUCACGGAUCAUGGUUUGGGUGUUGUAUCUAAAAAACUCAUUGCUGGGGCCAGUGCCGUUGGCUCACUUGGUUAAUCCGCCUACGGCGCCAGCAUCCCAUGUGGGCGCCGGGUUCUAGUCCCGGUUGCUCCUCUUUCGGUCCAGCUCUCUGCUGUGGCUGGAAGGGCAGUGGAGGAUGGCCCAGGUGCUUGGGCCCCUGUACCUGCAUGGGAGACCGGGAGGAGGCUCCUGGCUUCAGAUGGGCACAGUGCCGGCCAUAGCGGCCAUUUGGGGAGUGAACCAACAGAAGGAAGACCUUUCUCUCUGUCUCUCUCACUAACUCUAUCUGUAAAAUAAAAAAUAAAAACUCAUUGCCAAACUCAAUCACCUAGAUUUUCUACAGUGUUAUUUAUCUUCUACAGUUUUCUUAAAGUUUUGCAUUAGAUUUAGAUCUAUGAUCUAUUUGGAGUAAAUUUUUGUGAAAUGUUUCUGUUUAAGUUGACUUUUUGGAGGCAAAGUAUGAAGUCUAUAGUUGUUCCAGCAUCAUUUAUUGGAAAAACUAUUCCUUCUACAGUGAAUUGGCUUUGUUCCUUUUUCUCAAAGAUUUUUUGAGUGUCCUUGUGGUUCUGCUUCUGGGGUCUCUAUUUCCAAUGAUUUGUUCUUUUGCCAAUACCAUUUUCUCUUGUCCUCUUGACUUUGUUCUUGCCAGUAUCAUGCUAGUUAUUCUGAAUAUUUUGCUUAUCCAUAUAGACUUUCAAAUCAGUAUGUCCACAAAAAGCAUACUAAGAUUUUGAUUGGGAUUGCAUUGCAUCUGCAGAUAAAGUUGGGAAGAAUUGAUCUUAAGAAAUAUUGAGUCAUCUUAUCCAUGAACAUGGAAUAUUUCUCUAGUUAUUUAGAUUUCUGACUUUUCAUCAGAUUUUUAAAUUUCUUAUAUAAAUAUUAGAUCAUAUUUUACUAGGUGUGAACUAAAUAUUUUUUUGUUAAUGUAAAUAGUAUUGGGUUUUAAAUUUCAAAAUCCAGUUGUUCAUUGUUGGCGUGUAGGAAAGGAGUCUACUUUUGCAUGUUAACCUUGUAUCUUGAAACCUUGCUGUAGUCAGUUAUUAAUUGCAGGAGUUUUUUCCUUGAUUCAUAGGAAUUUUGAAUAUGUGGAAUAAUUUUAUCUCUGAACAAAAUUUUAUUCUCACUCCAUUUUCAUUUCCUUUAUUAUACUAGUUAGGAUUACCCAAUGUAUUGUUGAAUAGGAGUAGCGGCAGGAGACUCCCUUGUUCUGUUGCCAAUACUAUGGAGAAGGCAUCUAGUUUCUCACGAGUAAGUAUGAUAACUGUGGGACUUUUCUAGAUAAUCCUCAUCAUAUUGAGAAGUUCCUCUCUGUUCCUGGUUUCUCACAAUGUUUAACCAGAAGUGGAUGUUGGAUUUUUUUUAAAUGCCUUUUCUUCAUUUAUUGAUGGGGUCAAAUGAUUUUUCUACUUUAGCAAGUUAAUAUAGAGGAUCAUAUAAGUUGACUUGGAUGUCAGCCAGUCUGGCAUUCAUAGAGUAAAUCCUAUUGGUCACAGUGUGUGUUUCUUUUUAUCAUCAUUGGAUUUCAUUUGUGAAUACGCAGUCAGAUUUUUUUACAUCAGUGAUCAUGAGAGAUAUUCUUCUGUAAUUUUCAUUUCUUGUAUUAUCUUUGAUUUUGGUAUCAGGGUAAUGCUGGCCUCAUGGAAUGAAGAGUUUUACCCUCCAUUUCUACUUUCUGAAGAGAUUAUAGGAAAUUGAUGUCAUUUCCAUAAAUAUCAGGUAGAAUUCACAAGUGAAAUCAUCUGAUGUAGGACUUUCUGCUUGGAGAGGUUAUUAUUGUUCAAUUUCUUUAAUAUAUAUAGGCCUGUUCAACUUAACUGUUUCUUGCAGUGAGUUUUGGCAAAUUGUAUCAUUUAAACAAUUCGUUCUUUUCACCCAAGUUAACAGAUUUGUUGACAUAGAAUUGAUCAUAAUGAUUCUUAUCCUUUUCAUGUUAAUGGUAUAAGUAAUUCAUUUUACUUGUGAUACUAGCUUUUUUUGUGUCCUUUUUUAUUGGUUAAGAUGAUCUGAUGUCUAUCACUUACUGAUCAAAGAAUGAGAUUUUGGUUUUGGCUUUUCACUUUGAGUUACAGUGAUUUUUUUUUUUUAAAGUUUAUUUCAGAGAGUUAAACAUCUAUCUGUGUAUAUCUAUACACACACACAGAUAUAUGGAGAGCGAGAGGGGGGAGGGGGAGGGAGGGAGAGAGAGAGAGAGAGAGAGAGUUAUAGAGUUGGAGAGAGUGUUAGUUUACACGGAUUGACUCCCCAAAUGCUUUCAGUGGCUGGCAGUUUGAAGCCCAGAGCCAGGAAGUCCAUUUCCAGUCUUCUACCUCUGGUUUUCCUAAGGUGGAAUUUAAGAUUAUUGAUUUUUUGGUCUUUGCUAAUCUAGGUUAUUCAGUGCUAUAAAUUUCCCUCUAAACACUGUUUUGGCUGUGUCCCCCAAAUUUUGGAAAUUACAUUUUCAUUUUUAUUAUUUGAAAUCUUUUAAAAUUUAUCUUGAACUUCAUAUCUGUGAUACUUAGAAGUGUUGAAUUUCUGAAUAUUCUGAGUAUUUCCAGCUAUCAGUGGUAUUGUGUCUGUGAUUUUUAGUUCAAUUUCCAUUGUGAUCUGAAAGCUGGGUAUCUGGUAACGUGUUUCACUGCCCAAAGUGUGGUCUGUUUGCUUAGUGUCCCAUGUGAGCCUGAGCAGUUCUGAUGUUGGAUGCAGCAUUCUGUUGAUGUCAGGUUGAUCCUGUUGAUGGUCUUAUUAAGUUCCAUUAAUAUCCUUUCUGAUUUUCUGCUUCCUGGACCUGUUAAUUACUGAUAAAAGGGUAUUUAAAUUUUUAACCAAUUCUCACAUUUUUAUCAGCUUUGCCUCACAUAUUUUUGAUGUUCUAUAAUUAGGCACACCUAUAAGGAUGAUAUUGCCUUCUUGGAAUAUUGAUCUUUUUAUCAUUACACCUCUUUAUCCCUGAUAAUUUUCCUUUUUUGAAAUUUGCUUUGUCUGAAAUUAAUACUGCUAUUCCUACAUUCUUUUGAUUGCUAAUAGCAGGAUAUAUGUGUGUCUGUUUCUUUUAUUGUGUAUGUGUUUUAUCCAACCUUGGACUUUUUUUUUUUUUGGUAAUCUUCAGCACAACUAUUAACCCGUCCCCUCAAGUUUCCGCUUGUAUUAGUGUGGUACAUUUGUUGCUGUUGAUAAACUAAUUUUGAUACAUAAAAGUUCAUAGUUUAUAUUAAGGUAUACUUUCUUUGUCCUAUAGUUCCAUGAAUUUUGCUAAAUCCAUAAUGUCACAUAUCCAUCAUUUUAUCUUACAGAAUAGUUUUUUUUUUUUUUUUAAUUUAUUUGAAAGGCAGAGUUACAGAGGCAAAGAGAGAGAGAGAGAGGUAGGAUGGUUGGUCAGUCAGUCGAUUGGUCUGUUGGUCUUGGGCCAUUUUCUGCUUUCCCAGGCCAUAGCAGAGAGCCAGAUCAGAAGUGGAGCAGCUGGGACCUGAACUGGCAUCCAUAUGGAAUGCUGGCACUGCAAGCGGCAGCUCCACCCGCUACACCACAGUGCCAGGCCCCAGAAUAGUUUUAAUUCCCUUAAUAAUACCCUGUGCUCUACAUGUUGAUCCUUCCUCAUCCCAGCUUCUGGCAACUGCUGUCUGUGUAGUUCUGCAUUUCCCAGAAUGUUAGAGAGUUGGAAUAAUAUAGUAUGUCGACUCUACAGACUGGCUUUUUCACUUAGCAAUUUGCAGUUUAGGUUUUUCCAUGUCUUUUCUUUUUUGGCUUGAUAGUUCAUUCCUUUUUAUUAUUAUAUAUGUCUGCCAUAGUUUAUCCAUCACCUACUGAAGGACAUCUUGAUCACGUCUCAUUUUUGGCAGUGUGAAUAAAGGCUGUUACCAACAUUUGUGUGUGAGUUCUCAUGUGGACAUUCAUGCUUCAGCCUGUGUACGUGCUUGCUGAAUCACAGAAGCCUGUGCCUAGCUUGGUGCUGCAGAGACUGCCCAGCUGUCUUCCAAAGAGGCUGUAUUGUACUGCAUGCCCCACAGCUAUGGAUGCUAGUUCUGUCGCUCUAUUUUCUCCCCGGUAUUUGGUGUUGUCAGUGUUUGAUUGUAGCCACGCUAAUGGGCGUGCGGUGGCAUCUCAUUUUAGCUUGUAAUUACCUGAUGGUUUACGAUGUUGAACAUCUUUUCAUUUACUUAUUUUCAAUCUCACUUUUUUGAUUAAUUCAUUUGGUGAGGUGUCUGCCAAGAUCUUUUGCCCAUUUAAACAAUGAAGUUAAUUUUUUAAUUGUUGAGUUUUGUCAGUGCUUAGUGUAUUUUGGAUACCAGUCUGUGUUUGACAGAUGUUAUCUCCCAGCCUGUGGCUUGUCUUUUCAUUCUCUUAACAAUGGCUUUUGCACAGGAGAAUUUUAAAUUUUAAUGAAGUGUACUUUUUCAGUAUUUUUCUUUAAUGGAUCUUGAUUUUAAUUUUAUCUAAAAACUCAUUGCCAAACCCAAGGUCACCUAGAUUUUCUUCAGUGUUACCUCCUAUAAGUUUUUCAGCAUUUUUGAGUUAUAAUUUAGGUAUUUCACCCAUUUUUGAGUUAAUUUUUGUAAAAGAUAUAGGGUCAUUGUUUAGAUAGAUUUUUUAAUUGGCUGUCCAGUUGUUCCAGUACCAUUUGUUGAAAAGACUUCUUUCUCCACUGCAUCACCUGUCUUCGGUUGUCAAAUAUGAGAUUUAACCCUAAAUCUGCCAUACCCAGCCACUUCUUGCCAUCUCCAAGCUACUGUCAUCUCUUGCCAGAACUAUUGGGUUAGCCCUUUCUGAGCUUGCUUUAUGUCUUGACUUCUGUUUUCUUGGUAGAAUGUGAUUUAUUCUAAUUUUAAAGUACAAGUUAAUACUCAUUUGCUUUUUUUGGUACAAAUAAUAAAUUCCAAGUUCUUUAUUAUAACCUGUGAGUUCCUAAUGAUCUGGCCCUACCCUCUCCUCCAGCUUUACCCUCUUGCCUCUCAUUUUUGUCUCUGAAGUUUUGACUCUUCUGCCUUGGGGAUUCAUGAUGACUGGAGUGCCUCUUCCCCCCGCUUUAGCUCUCGACUCAAAUAUUUCUUCUUCAGGCAUGGCUUUUCUAGAUGCUAUGCCUACUCUGACUUCAGUUUAACAUAACUUUGACUCUGUCCUAUUGUUUGUCACAAUUUAAUAGCAUAUAUUGCCUGACUUCCUGACACCAGGGUUCCUGUCUGUGCUGUUUUCUUACUUUUAGCAGUUGCCACGGUGGCUCUCACAUACUAGGCACUGAACAAAUAGUUUCUUUAAGAAGCCACAGGCAGCCUUUGAGGUGCCUAAAUGUAGUGCGUGAGGAAAUCCAUACAUAGAUAGGGAAAUCACAAUGCCAUUUCAGUGCUAGUGGUAGGUCUUGGAAAAUAAGCAAUGAAAGAUUAAAGGAAAAAACAAACCUUUUGGGUUCUUUCUCACUGGUGUGAACUAGUGAUUGUAGAUGUCAGUUUAUUGCCUAGAUAUUGAUACUGUGGGGUUAAGACAAUUCUAGGUCCAGAAGUCUCAGACUUAGGAUCUCAAGUGUCCCAAGAAACCAUGAAUCUGUGCUGACACUGCGGGUGUUCCAGGGGGUGGUCUGAAGCCCACUAAGUCCUAUAGCACAGUGAUUUAGAUUUUAGUAUCUGGCUCUGUCAAUCUCCUUGGGCAGGUCGUUUAAACGGUGCCUCAGUUUCCUCUGUGAAGAACCAAUAAGCAUGCCUACCUCCCAGGGUGGUACUGAUCAGUAAGUGGGCCAGUGUGUGGAAUGUACGUGCCAGACACUGCAGUAAACAUGGAAGAGCUUCCUGCGUUCUCCUGACUCAAGCAUGAAUAUGGCUGUGAGCCCAUCCCUUCCAGUGCACGCCAGGUCACGAUCCCAUCACCUCUGCUUUUUAAAUUCCUUCUCCACAUUUAACGUUUUCCUUUCAGCUAGAUCCCUCUCAGCUGGGUAGAGACAUAUUCAGGUCUCUGGAAGAAAAAACUUUAUAUGUAAUUCUAGUUACCGCCCCACCCUUCCUCUGUAUACCCAGACCUAAAAGAACUCUCCACAGUGUCCAUUUCUGCCUCCUUUCCUCCCUCUUCAGCUCACCUGGUCUUGCUUCCAACUCCAGUGACUUCACUGAUACACUACUACUGAAGUCAGUGGUGACUUUGUCACUAAAUCAGAUGAGCAGUUUUCCUGUCUAGUCUGAGAGGUGCCAUCUGCAGCAUUCAGCAAAACUGAUUGUGUUUUCUGCCGCUUUCGGUUCUGGGGGCUUCCCAGGCUGUGUGCUUGGUCAGUAUCUGUCAGUUCUUUAGACAUUCUCCCCAUACUGCAGAUUAGAUACCUUCCUGUGUUACCUGUCCAACUGCCUAUAGGUUUCAUUCCUUACUUGACAUCUCUUUGGGUGUCCCGAGAACACAGUGUUUUAUGAAUGUAACGAUCUUUCUGUGCCCUCAGAUCUGGGUCUCUCUUUGCAUGUCAUCCUCAGACAGCCUGCAUCCAGUUACAUGCUGGGAACCUAGGUGUUAACCUGCAUGUCUGUAUUCCUUAUGUCCCAAUCCAUCAUCCACUGCUGCUGUUUGGGUUUGAAAUAUCUCAGUGAUCUGUCCAUUUCUUUUCUUUCACUACCUAGCCCAGUGCAUUAUUUCUCAAUCUGAAAUACAGCAGUUCUCACUGCUAUCCUUGUACACAACCUUGCACUAAUCAGAUUCACUCUGACUGUGGGGCCUGGGUGCUGUUUGUCAACACAGUUAAUGAUGUUACCCCUUCAGUUAAAGCCUUCAUGUGGCUUCCCAUUGUUUUUAGGGUGUAUGAGUGGGGAGAAAGGCAAGAAUCCUUAUACAAUUUGUGAAAUCCUGAAAGAUCAAGUCCCAUUUUACCUCUGCAGUCCGGUCUUUGGCCACUUUUUGGUGUUUCUUGCUCUCUGUCUCUAGCUCACCUCAGAGGCACCUCCUGUGAUGUUUUUGAACCAGCAGGAUCACCAUGUAUGUAUUGGGCCAUUCAUUAUAGUCCUGGUUUUAAAUCUUUGCAUGCUGUUUCUUCUGUUAGCUACCAACCCCUAAGGAACCAAGGGUCUGGUUUUUGCUCACUGUUUCCAAUGCUUAGGAGCACAGUAACUUGCUUAUACCCUGCAUUUCACUGAAUUUUAAGAUGCCUUCCUUAAUUUUUUUUUUUACUAAGAAAAGAAAAUGGAGAAUGAAAUGCAAGGAGAAACCUGCUGUUAGAUGUAAAAUGUACUGUUUAGAAUCAAUGGAAGAUCACAGUAUUACUGAAUUUUCUAUAAAGCUGAAUUAAAUAUUUUCUCCUAACCCUUUGCUUGCCUAUGAAGGUAAGAGAAAUGUUACUGAGGAAAAAAAUUCAGAAUAUUUCUUUCUGGAUCCUGGCUCCUUGGGAAAAAAAAAAAAAAAAAGACCAAAAGACCGUGUAAUGACUUUACUGUGAAGGCCUUCUAGAACUAAAAAGUUAGAUGUCUUACUUUAAAAUAUUCAAACUUGUUUAGUUUGAUCUGAAGUGUAGGUUUGAGGUAAACUUUCUGAGUCGUGAUUUUUGUCUUGGAAUACUAUUUGGGAAGGUAUAUUUAGUGAUAGUUUAAGAAUAUCAAAGAUUUUUACGUUUAGGACAUUGUAUAAGUGAAUCAUCACUUGUUUUCUGGUCUUGCUUUCAUUUCAUUAAUUUACUCUAAUUCUCAUACUUUUGUUAGAGGAGGAUUAACUACUGCCAGCAUUUCUGUUUCCAUUCCUUGGUUUAGGAGGUUAUCCUCUCCACCAUUCUCAAAAGAGGCUGUUUCCCUAAUACAUUCAGUUCUUGUUCUGAUUCGAUUUAUACUGACACAAGAGAAAUUCAGAAUGGAAAAGUCAGCUUGCCAUGUAGCCUCGUAAUUUCUCAAAGGAAACUUUAAAAAUCUGAACAGGAACACUCUCUUGUGUCUGUCUAUAAGAAAAUAAAUUUUUAAAGUUGUAUAGUUUUAAGGCCUGUCUUACCUGUUUCUGUAGCCUGACGUUUGGUAGUUGGAAUAAA